UACGUAGGGUGCGAGCGUUGUCCGGAAUUACUGGGCGUAAAGAGCUCGUAGGUGGUUUGUCGCGUUGUUCGUGAAAACUCACAGCUCAACUGUGGGCGUGCGGGCGAUACGAGCAGACUAGAGUACUGCAGGGGAGACUGGAAUUCCUGGUGUAGCGGUGGAAUGCGUAGAUAUCGGGAGGAACACCAGUGGCGAAGGCGACUACCUGGCCUGUUCUUGACGCUGAGGCGCGAAAGCUAGGGGAGCAAACGGG
rnacentral:rRNA from 1 species